rnacentral:lncRNA from 10 species
UAUUUUAAUUUUUAAGUUCCGGGAUACGUGUGCGGGACGUGCAGGUUUAUUACAAAGGUAAAACGUGUGCUAUGGUGGUUUGCACACCCAUCACCUAGGUAUUAAGCUCCACAUGCAUUAGCUAUUUAUCCUGAUGCUCUCCCUCCGCCCAACCCCCUGAACAUUAUUUUUAUAUCACACAUUUUGGUACUCCUUAACAACAGAUCCUGUAUUUUCUAUCUGUUUAUAUUAUAGCCCUUUUCACGUUGAGUCAUAACUAUCCCUAAACUGUGGUCUCCUUCAAGCCAGGAGGCUGUUUUUUUCUUCAUUAGCGCUGGUUCUCCACACACAAUGAAGUCUUCCAAAUCCUGGCCCUGCUUAUGAGCUUGGCAAGUUAGUUAACCUACUGAAGCCUCAGUUUCUCCAUCUACAAAAUGGAGACCAGAGUUUCGUGACCUUGUCCAGUAGAAGGCUAUUUAAUUUUCACAACUGCUUGAAUUUUGACAUACAAGAUGAAGCAAGAUGCCUCAAGAAAUGCUGCCUACACUGUGGAUUGUGAAGAUUAUGUGCAUGUGGUAGAAUUUAAUCCCUUUGAGAAUGGGGAUUCAGGAAACCUAAUUGCAUAUGGUGGCAAUAAUUAUGUGGUCAUUGGCACGUGUACGUUUC